AAAUAAACACUCCCUUUAGUUAAAAUGCCUGGCCAGGUAACUUCUUAAUUAUUGUAUCUAUUUAAUUAAGGAUUCCCCUUUAAGAAGGCUGAACUCCCAUGAGCCUUUGUUCUUUUUUAAACAGGUAGAGGGUUGAAGGGAGGCAGGUUUUGUGUUCUGGGUUCCUCCAUUUUGUGUAUGGCGGUGUGGUUUGUGUGCAGGUUCUGAAUGGGUUCCAGUUGACUUUCAGGAUUUUAUUUACAAGAAAAUUAUAUUAAAUAAGAACUAUACCUACCUUGGAGCAUCUCUUGGACAACUUGUUGCUGUUGGACUGCCACUGGAACUACAGAAUAAGCAUCAACAAACAAACAAACAGUCAGGUCUGUGAGGAUGAGAAGGUCUCCACAGUCUGGAGUCUGAUCUCUGACAGCCUCAACAUACCUGUCAAUCAACAGGGACUCCUCUACAAAGGCAAGGCGCUGGCAGGUGAUGAAGUGACACUUUGAAUAUGGGGCCUGAUGAGAGAAGUAUCCUUUUCAUGUGGUUUUGGUUUUGCCGUUGUGAGCAGGUGUGGGAGACAGCACCGUGUCUGCAUGUGAAAUAACAAAGUCAUCGCAGUGGAGGGACUCUCUGAAGGCUGCUGUUUGUGGAUUUGUCUUGUAAUGUGAGUGAUCUACUGUACUGUGAUGCCACUGUCUGUACGCACGCUGCACUGCAGGGGAGACACCGCUGGCAUUCACAGGGCAUGCUUGUUCAUUUAAAGCACGCUGCACUGCAGGGGAGACACCAACCUUCUGGACAAAGCCAAAACAGAUAGAGGAGUGACCAAAGUGAUCCUAUCAUUCGGAAUCAACAACAAGGACCAGAAAGUCAAAGAGACAGCUAUCAAAAACCUACAAAGGAUGUACAGGUCAGCAAAGACAACCUUCCCAACUGCAGAAAUCAAAGUGCCACUGGUGAACUUCUCACGAGCACUAGACAUGCAGGCCCAACGAAACUUGGAAGAACUAAACGGAUUCAUCUCAGCCAACCUACCACACAUACCGCUAUUACCAACUGAGAAAUUUCAAGCUGGCGGAGACAACAUCCACUGGACAACCAACACAGCCAAAGAUAUGCUCCAGCACUGGUGCCAGCAUUUAAACUAGGAGACCCCACAAGCCCAAAUAUCUCCAGGGAGGGGGCAUCCAACAUAGUCAAUCUAUGUAAAUACUUCACACCAACAGAGAGUCAAAACAGCCUUUUGAGCAAAGGCCUCUCCUUCAUACCCACACCGCAAACUGAAGCAAAACAGAAGCAGACACUGCGAGCAGAAACACAAGACUACCAUAGGAGGCUAAAAAUCGCAACCUUCUUUGAAGAGGAAGGAGACUCAAAUCACAUACCCUUCCUACCCAAAUCCAACUGGGAACCAAAUAACAACCAAGUUCCACAGGAAAUCACAGAGAUUAUUCUUGAAGAUCUAAAAACAAUACACAGCCUUAACCCAGGUAACUACAAAACAGAAGACAACCUAACAGCACCAGAAAGGAUUGCACUUAAGGAAUUACAAAAACAUACCGACAUCAUUUUCAAACCAGCAGACAAGGGAAGUUCAAUAGUAAUAAUGGAUAGAGAAGACUACAUCUUUGAAGCCAACAGACAACUAAAUAAUCAAGAACACUACAGGAAAUUAGAUGCACCAAUUUAUCUUGAUUCUGCUCAGUAAAUUAACAGAAUAA